UACGUAGGGGGCUAGCGUUGUCCGGAAUCAUUGGGCGUAAAGAGCGUGUAGGCGGCCCGGUAAGUCCGCUGUAAAAGUCAAAGGCUCAACCUUUGAAUGUCAGUGGAUACUGCCGGGCUAGAGUCCGGAAGAGGCGAGUGGAACUUCUGGUGAAGCGGUGAAAUGCGUAGAUAUCAGAAGGAACGCCGGUGGCGAAAGCGACUCUCUGGCCCGAUAUCUGACGCUGGAGGCGCGAAAGCUUGGGUAGCAAACGGGAUUAG
rnacentral:rRNA from 1 species